rnacentral:rRNA from 1 species
UGCAGAAGGGUUCUAACAUGUAUGCGAGUGUUUUGAAAGGGAAACGAUUGAAGUCAGUCGUACCUGCGGACAAUCAGCUUUUUGAGUGUGAUUAUGUGGAUUGUGAGGAGUUUAAUCACCCUCAUGUUUUACGUAUUCGUGCUCUUGGUGUUACUUGUCCGUGUGGUGGGUUAACA